UGAUGCAGGGCUCCAAGGCCAGUUCACUCCGUGUCCUGUCACCAUGGUGAAGCGGAGCAACCCAGCUGGGAGACAGUAGUAGAGCGGCACAGGCUGCUGCACGCAUCGCUCCGCUUCCCGGGCUCCUGCCGCCAGGACAGACAUAAAUAGAUGACACCUCAGCUCUGAUCUGCAACCAUUACCUGCUGUUGUGCCCGGCAGAACAAGGUGGGAUUUGCCCUGGAUUUGCAGUGACUCCAGUGGAUAACACAAAUCCGAGAGAGCGCACCCGCCACCGGAAUGAAAACCAGACAAGAUGGUCUGAUACAAACACCCCAGCCCUGUUCCCACAAGGCUUGUGGACCACUUACUGCUAAGGAAGCAAGGCGGGUGAGGAAGGGGCCUCACGAGGCGGUCUGCAGCGCACUGAGGAAAUCAGGACAACAAAGAGGCAUCCUCUGGAGCUGUACGAUACUAAAAGGGGAUGGGGGAGACAGAGGCAGGUCAACCUGUGGGAGAUCACAAGGAGUGAACUAACACAGGGCCGGGCUUUCCCAGCUGCCUCAGCAGAGUAUGUGGGUGCAAGUUGAGGGUGCUGCUCUUUAUCCAGCCUGUGUGUGUCAGUGAGUGCACCUGCUUCCUGGAAGGCUGGAGGAAGGUCCAAGAAAUGUGACAAUUUUGGUAAGAUUUGUAUGGUGCCAAUGUGUGCCUUGGGUUCCUGCUGUGGUCAGUACUGCUAUGGACUGAGGAUAAAUAGCUGGAGCCAGGCACUGUUCUGUCAUGUAGCUACAUGUGGUGAUAUGAAUGGGCUCCUCAGGACUGGCUGGGACCACUCCAUCUCAGUGGAAGAUGAUAGUGAGACAAUGGAAACCCCAGUGACUGAACAAUUGACUGAUCCUAGCAGGACAAUGGAAAGAGAUGAUGACAGGAGACGGUGGUAAGACAGAACUGGGCUCAUAGCGAGAGAGAGAGAGCUGUCCUGGACAAGGGAACAGACACAGAAAAAGGAAACCAAGAUGGAUCCUAGCAACCUGGCACAAGGGAGCCCUGGAUUUGGCCACAAGGAACUUUGCCUGAACUUAUUCUACUUUGUGCUCACCCAAUACUUGAUCCAGUAGCCCCAUAAACUCUGCUCUGUUCUGAAAAGCUCCCUGGUGUCACUUCAAAUACUUGCUGGGCUGCACUGGUUCCUGAAGAAGGGAAAAGUCUUUGACCAUGCAUCUAUCUUCUCCGCUGGAUUUGGUGGGCAGAGCUCCGGGAUGAGAAAAGAGUGUUGGAUCUCAGAGGCUCUGUCUUGGAGGUGCAGAGGCUACAUGUCCUACUCAUAAGGAAAAGUAUGGCCCCUGGGAGGUCUGGCACUUGGAGAGACCCUUCCAAGGGAUUGUUAGAAAGCUAGGGCAUAGCACAGAACAUUGGUGCCAUGACAGAAGGCAAAGGAAGUGUGUGGACCUCCGUGUGCCUAUGUGCUGGGGUUGUGAACCAAUCCCAGGGAGUUUGGCAAAGAAUCACAACAGUGACUUGGCCCUCCAGCUAUUCCACAGCUCCAAAUACCAAACCAUAGCCUGGAGGG